rnacentral:lncRNA from 1 species
UGGGGAAGGCAGCGGGGCCGGGAUGCUCAGGUUUAACGUUUCUCGUGCGAAAAUAGCUGCUGUGCCAGGUGCAAGCGUGUCCGCAGGCUUCGGUUUCACGCUUGCACGGUGCCCCCGAACAAACCCGCUGCAGCGCGAACCGAAGCACGAGAGCCGAAGAAGUAACUGUUGGAAGGCUGUGCAGAAGUCUGCUUCCCUCCGCCGAGAGCUCCUCGGCCUGCAGCUCACACCGCCAGCGGCCCCUCGGCCUCUCGGUGCUGCGGGAGGGAGAGCAGCGCAGUGUAUCUGCUCUGCGCAUUGCAUUCGUCCGACACAGUGAAUUCAAAGGUCUGCAUUUCUUCUGAAUCAACUUUCCAGAUAAGAAGGCCAGCGGGAGAGAGCCUGGCAUCCUGUGGCCCAGCCUCUAAGAUGAAUAGUACAGCUGACCCUUCCGGAUCCACCGCUGUUAACUGGUUUGUCAUAUCAGCAAUCAGUGCCUGGGACUGCAGUGAGAGCAAGAGCAAGCGCUGGCAGAGGGUGGCAAAGGCGUUUUGUGAGUACUUUAACUCCCUGCUUGUGAGAAAUGGACUGCUUCAAUUUCACACUGAAAGCAUCCAUGUGCUGCUACAAUAUGGUAGAUUAUUUUUGCUUUAGAAAGCUCACUGUGACAUUUUAUGUCUAUUUGAUCUCUUCUAUUUUUAAAAGGCUCGCUAGCAAUUUACUUCAGCAAUAGAAUGGGAAGAAAAGCGUGCUGUUAACUAUAGAAUAUUGCCUCUUUUCUAAAUGGCCCUG